GUAUUUGCCUUGACCAAGCUGGCCGGCAGGACUUUAGCUAUUGCAGUGUUUUAGAGGACGUGUCAGUUGUUGUCUUCCUUUUUCACGGGGCCUCUCUGUUGCCCAUAUAUGGCUGGUUGUUGUCAAGGUUGUGUGUCCGACGUAGUGCGACUGACUGCGCAAUACAAGCUCUAACACAAGAUAAAGUCUCAGCUAUGAAGUAACACGGACAAAUCUCACGACACAACAAAAUUGGCGACGACGAACGAGAUAAAGAAAUCAAAAAGUGAGAUCAAGCUGAGAUAAAAUGAAUAAGAGCUAAAAGGAGAUUAAAGGAAUGUCACAAGUGCGCAACAAUUGUCGCAAGGAAAGAAAAGCUGAAUUACGAUGCAAAUGAAGAUAUAAGGAGUUGUAACAAAGGAAAGAAAGCGAAAAAGGAACCAGAAAAACAAGUGAAAGUGGUUAAAUUCCGUAUUUGAACUCUCAAAAAGAAAUUAAAAUGGCUACGAGUCUGCCACCGCCACCGGGUAUGCAAAAAGAUUGAGCGAGGUGCCGCACUCCACCAGAUGAAGGUCUAGGGCGUCCAGACUGAACCGGAACAUCUUGUACUUGAUGUCGUCCGCCGAUGGACAUCUGACGGAGGAAACGAGGAUGUGUCGAAAUAAACAUCAACCAGGUGUCUGUGCGGCUCGGGCCGCGGCACGGUGUCCUGAACCACAGCCACGAUGGGCGACAGCAGCAGCUGCAGCCGCGUCUCCCAGUACGACUUGGACAUCUCGAACCCGAUCCGCUCCAGGGUCAGCGUCGGACACGGAGGGUCGCCCGGCGCGCAGUUCUGGAAAUGAACGGCAACCGACGUGUGAUGAGCACGGGUUUCAGCGAACUAAGUUGGAGAAGUGAAAAACGGAGGUGCCACAUACUCGUAGGUCAAAAACAUUUUAUUAUUUUUGCGAUUGCUGUGACAGUACGAACUACAUUCCAGUUAAAAUAUUUUGAUUCAAUAAGCAUUUGUCACAAGAUGCGCCGAAGAUUCACAGUCCUCCACAGUCCUUGAACUGUUUACUGUCUGUGAAACAUGACAUUAUUUAUUAUGCCCAAAGGAUCAGUGGGGACAUGAUUACCGACUCGAGAGAGGUCAAGAACCUCGGUGUGUACAUCGACCGUCACCUCAAUUUCGAAGCUCACGUGACAUACAUCUCACGGAAAUGUACGGGUAUUCUGAUAGGGCUGUCACACGCGCGUCACGUGCUACCGAAACAGACAUUGAAGGUGAUUGUGGAGGCGCUGGCGAUGUCAGUGGUGCGAUAUUGCCUGUCCGUGUACGGCACAUGUGGUGUGACCCAGCUCGGCCGGAUUCAGAAAGUUGUUCACUUUUGUGUUCGAGUCGUGACGGGCAAACGACGCUUUGACCAUGUCAGCGGGGCGCUGCAGGAGCUCCGCUGGCUGAACGCAGAGCAGCUUGCUGCCUACCACACUGUGUGUGCGCUAGCGCGUAUAAUUGAGACGGGACAGCCUGAGUACCUGUACAACACCAUUGGACCGAGAGCGGACCAAAGGCAUGCCCAUGCAACACGACAGUCGGGGCUAAUCACAUGCCCCAACAUUCGUACCGAAGCUGGAAGGAGGAGAAUGUGUUUUCGGGGAGUGAGAUUACUGAACAGUGUGCAAGCUGUUCCCGGCGAGCCUGGGUUCCGCCGUACUGUCAGGCGGCUCGUGAGAUCGGCUGACGCGCUGUGAGCAGUUGGUGUAUGUAUGAUGGGUUUGUGUGUUUAGUGUAAAUGUGUCCUCAUUGUGUCCGCAUUGUAACUGACGUAGAAGAAUGAAAAGCCAUAUUUUAUGGAUUUCUUUUGAAUACAUCUGUAUCUGUAUCUGUA
rnacentral:lncRNA from 1 species